GACGAACGCUGGCGGCGUGCUUAACACAUGCAAGUCGAACGGAAAGGCCCUGCGUUUGUGGGGUGCUCGAGUGGCGAACGGGUGAGUAACACGUGAGUAACCUGCCCUUGACUUUGGGAUAACUUCAGGAAACUGGGGCUAAUACCGGAUAGGAGCUCCUGCUGCAUGGUGGGGGUUGGAAAGUUUCGGCGGUUGGGGAUGGACUCGCGGCUUAUCAGCUUGUUGGUGGGGUAGUGGCUUACCAAGGCUUUGACGGGUAGCCGGCCUGAGAGGGUGACCGGCCACAUUGGGACUGAGAUACGGCCCAGACUGCUACGGGAGGCAGCAGUGGGGAAUAUUGCACAAUGGGCGGAAGCCUGAUGCAGCAACGCCGCGUGCGGGAUGACGGCCUUCGGGUUGUAAACCGCUUUCGCCUGUGACGAAGCGUGAGUGACGGUAAUGGGUAAAGAAGCACCGGCUAACUACGUG
rnacentral:rRNA from 1 species